rnacentral:rRNA from 1 species
AACUCAAAGGAAUUGGCGGGGGCCCGCACAAGCGGUGGAGCAUGUGGUUUAAUUCGAUGCAACGCGAAGAACCUUACCUGGUCUUGACAUCCACGGAAGUUUUCAGAGAUGAGAAUGUGCCUUCGGGAACCGUGAGACAGGUGCUGCAUGGCUGUCGUCAGCUCGUGUUGUGAAAUGUUGGGUUAAGUCCCGCAACGAGCGCAACCCUUAUCCUUUGUUGCCGGCGGUCCGGCCGGGAACUCAAAGGAGACUGUUAGUGAUAAACUGGAGGAAGGUGGGGAUGACGUCAAGUCAUCAUGGCCCUUACGACCAGGGCUACACACGUGCUACAAUGGCGCAUACAAAGAGAAGCGACCUCGCGUGAGCAAGCGGACCUCAUAAAGUGCGUCGUAGUCCGGAUUGGAGUCUGCAACUCGACUCCAUGAAGUCGGAAUCGCUAGUAAUCGUGGAUCAGAAUGCCACGGUGAAUACGUUCCCGGGCCUUGUACACACCGCCCGUC